UACGUAGGGAGCAAGCGUUGUUCGGAUUUACUGGGCGUAAAGGGCGCGUAGGCGGCAUGACAAGUCACUUGUGAAAUCUCUGGGCUUAACCCAGAACGGCCAAGUGAUACUGUCGCGCUAGAGUGCAGAAGGGGCAAUCGGAAUUCUUGGUGUAGCGGUGAAAUGCGUAGAUAUCAAGAGGAACACCUGAGGUGAAGACGGGUUGCUGGGCUGACACUGACGCUGAGGCGCGAAAGCUAGGGUAGCAAACGGG
rnacentral:rRNA from 1 species